rnacentral:misc_RNA from 1 species
AAGUCGUAACAAGGUUUCCGUAGGUGAACCUGCGGAAGGAUCAUUACCAAGAACUGACGUCCAGUCGCUCUGGCUGGACUCAACUUGUUCCUUACCCCAUCUGUGAACUGCCCGCUGCUUCGGGUCCGCUUGGACUGUAGCAGCCUCAUCUACCCGAGUGGAGUAAUACAACAUGUCUAAGGAUAUGAUAUGUGUGAAAUGUUCAUAUCUAUCUCUUGAUGGUUAUGAAAAUAAUUCGCAUAAAACUUUCAGCAACGGAUCUCUUGGCUCUC